UACGGAGGGUGCAAGCGUUGUUCGGAAUCACUGGGCGUAAAGGGCGUGUAGGCGGUCCGCUAAGUCUGAUGUGAAAGCCCGGGGCUCACCCCCGGAAGUGCAUUGGAAACUGACGGACUCGAGUCCCGGAGAGGAGGGUGGAAUUCCGGGUGUAGCGGUGGAAUGCGUAGAGAUCCGGAGGAAGACCGGUGGCGAAGGCGGUCUGCUGGGCAGUUUCUGACACUGAUGCGCGACAGCGUGGGGAGCAAACAGG
rnacentral:rRNA from 1 species